UACAGAGGUCCCAAGCGUUGUUCGGAUUCACUGGGCGUAAAGGGUGCGUAGGCGGUUGGGUAAGUCUGAUGUGAAAUCUCACAGCUUAACUGUGAAACUGCAUUGGAUACUAUCCGGCUAGAGGAAUGGAGGGGAGACUGGAAUACUUGGUGUAGCAGUGAAAUGCGUAGAUAUCAGGAGGAACACCGAUGGCGAAGGCAGUUCUCUGGGCCGUAACUGACGCUGAGGAGCGAAAGCGUGGGGAGCGAACAGG
rnacentral:rRNA from 1 species